UACCCUACGGGGGGCAGCAGUGAGGAAUAUUGGUCAAUGGGAGGAAUCCUGAACCAGCCAUGCCGCGUGCAGGACGACGGCUCUACGAGUUGUAAACUGCUUUUGUACCGGGGUAAAAUGCCUUACGAGUAGGGUUUUGAAAGUACGGUACGAAUAAGGAUCGGCUAACUCCGUGCCAGCAGCCGCGGUAAUACGGAGGAUGCGAGCGUUAUCCGGAUUUAUUGGGUUUAAAGGGUGCGUAGGCGGGCUGUUAAGUCAGCGGUAAAAGCCCGGGGCUCAACCCCGGCGAGCCGUUGAAACUGGCU
rnacentral:rRNA from 1 species